UUUAUCCUGGCUCAGAAUGAACGCUGGCGGCGUGCUUAACACAUGCAAGUCGAACGAUGAAGACCGUGCUUGCACGGUUGGAUUAGUGGCGAACGGGUGAGUAUCACGUGAGUAACCUUCCCUUAACUCUGGGAUAAGCCCGGGAAACUGGGUCUAAUACCGGAUACGACCAGUCCUCGCAUGGGGUGCUGGUGGAAAGAUUUAUCGGUUUUGGAUGGACUCGCGGCCUAUCAGCUUGUUGGUGAGGUAAAGGCUCACCAAGGCGAUGACGGGUAGCCGGCCUGAGAGGGUGACCGGCCACACUGGGACUGAGACACGGCCCAGACUCCUACGGGAGGCAGCAGUGGGGAAUAUUGCACAAUGGGCGAAAGCCUGAUGCAGCGACGCCGCGUGCGGGAUGACGGCCUUCGGGUUGUAAACCGCUUUCAGCAGGGAAGAAGCGCAAGUGACGGUACCUGCAGAAGAAGCGCCGGCUAACUACGUGCCAGCAGCCGCGGUAAUACGUAGGGCGCGAGCGUUAUCCGGAAUUAUUGGGCGUAAAGAGCUCGUAGGCGGUUUGUCACGUCUGCUGUGAAAGCCCGGGGCUCAACCCCGGGUGUGCAGUGGGUACGGGCAGACUAGAGUGCAGUAGGGGAGACUGGAAUUCCUGGUGUAGCGGUGAAAUGCGCAGAUAUCAGGAGGAACACCGAUGGCGAAGGCAGGUCUCUGGGCUGUUACUGACGCUGAGGAGCGAAAGCAUGGGGAGCGAACAGGAUUAGAUACCCUGGUAGUCCAUGCCGUAAACGUUGGGCACUAGGUGUGGGGAACAUUCCACGUUUUCCGCGCCGUAGCUAACGCAUUAAGUGCCCCGCCUGGGGAGUACGGCCGCAAGGCUAAAACUCAAAGGAAUUGACGGGGGCCCGCACAAGCGGCGGAGCAUGCGGAUUAAUUCGAUGCAACGCGAAGAACCUUACCAAGGCUUGACAUGGACCGGACCGCUGCAGAGAUGCAGUUUCCCUUCGGGGUCGGUUCACAGGUGGUGCAUGGUUGUCGUCAGCUCGUGUCGUGAGAUGUUGGGUUAAGUCCCGCAACGAGCGCAACCCCUAUCCUAUGUUGCCAGCACGUUAUGGUGGGGACUCAUGGGAGACUGCCGGGGUCAACUCGGAGGAAGGUGGGGACGACGUCAAAUCAUCAUGCCCCUUAUGUCUUGGGCUUCACGCAUGCUACAAUGGCCGGUACAAUGGGUUGCGAUACUGUGAGGUGGAGCUAAUCCCUAAAAGCCGGUCUCAGUUCGGAUCGAAGUCUGCAACUCGACUUCGUGAAGUUGGAGUCGCUAGUAAUCGCAGAUCAGCAACGCUGCGGUGAAUACGUUCCCGGGCCUUGUACACACCGCCCGUCAAGUCACGAAAGUGGGUAACACCCGAAGCCGGUGGCCUAACCCUUGUGGGGGGAGCCGUCGAAGGUGGGACUCGCGAUUGGGACUAGGUCGUAACGGAGUAUCCGU
rnacentral:rRNA from 1 species